UGAAGCGAAUCUUUUUAAUGG
rnacentral:piRNA from 1 species